rnacentral:rRNA from 1 species
AUUGAACGCUGGCGGCAUGCUUUACACAUGCAAGUCGAACGGCAGCACGGGGGCAACCCUGGUGGCGAGUGGCGAACGGGUGAGUAAUGCAUCGGAACAUACCCAGUCGUGGGGGAUAACGUAGCGAAAGUUACGCUAAUACCGCAUACGUCCUGAGGGAGAAAGCGGGGGAUCGCAAGACCUCGCGCGAUUGGAGUGGCCGAUGUCAGAUUAGCUAGUUGGUGGGGUAAAGGCCCACCAAGGCGACGAUCUGUAGCGGGUCUGAGAGGAUGAUCCGCCACACUGGGACUGAGACACGGCCCAGACUCCUACGGGAGGCAGCAGUGGGAAUUUUGGACAAUGGGGAAACCCUGAUCCAGCCAUGCCGCGUGCGGGAAGAAGGCCUCGG